rnacentral:rRNA from 1 species
UACGUAGGGUGCGAGCGUUGAUCGGAAUUACUGGGCGUAAAGCGUGCGCAGGCGGUUCGUUGUGUCGGUGGUGAAAUCCCCGGGCUUAACCUGGGAAUGGCCAUGGAAACUGGCGAACUGGAGUGCGGCAGAGGGGGGUGGAAUUCCGCGUGUAGCAGUGAAAUGCGUAGAGAUGCGGAGGAACACCGAUGGCGAAGGCAGCCCCCUGGGCUAGCACUGACGCUCAGGCACGAAAGCGUGGGGAGCAAACAGG